rnacentral:rRNA from 1 species
UACGUAGGGGGCUAGCGUUGUCCGGAAUCAUUGGGCGUAAAGCGCGUGUAGGCGGUCCGGUAAGUCCGCUGUGAAAGUCGGGGGCUCAACCCUCGGAUGCCGGUGGAUACUGUCGGGCUUGAGUACGGAAGAGGCGAGUGGAAUUCCUGGUGUAGCGGUGAAAUGCGCAGAUAUCAGGAGGAACACCAAUUGCGAAGGCAGCUCCGCUGGG